CUAGGUGAUGCCUCGCCCUUGCUGACAGUGCUGUCCCCCUCCAUGAAGGAGCUGCAGCAGGGGAAGGCCACACUCAUGUGUGUGGCCAACAAGGGCUUCCCCUCAGACUGGACUCUGUCCUGGGAGGUGGUCGGCAGCAGCAGCUGGGAGGAGAGCAGGAGCCCCGGGGUGCUGCAGAAGGACGGCCUCUACAGCUGGAGCAGCACCCUGAGGCUCUCUGCAGACCAGUGGGAGAAGGUGACCUGUCAGGCCAAGAGAGGAUCCAAGGAUCCAGUCUUAGAGACUUUCAGGAGAGACCAGUGCUCCCAGUCCUGAACUGGAAAUUUCUGACUCUCUUGCUGACUAACUCUCUCUUUAAAAUGAUUUUAAAUCUAUUCUUACUUUAGUCCUUUGCUCUUUUCAAGUUUUGUGUUGUCUUCAAAUAAAUACAAAUGUCUCCAGUUUGA